CCUUACCUGGCCUUGACAUGCAGAGAACUUUCCAGAGAUGGAUUGGUGCCUUCGGGAACUCUGACACAGGUGCUGCAUGGCCGUCGUCAGCUCGUGUCGUGAGAUGUUGGGUUAAGUCCCGUAACGAGCGCAACCCCUAUCCCUAGUUGCUAGCAGUUCGGCUGAGAACUCUAGGGAGACUGCCGGUGACAAACCGGAGGAAGGUGGGGAUGACGUCAGGCCAUCAUGGCCCUUACGGCCAGGGCUACACACGUGCUACAAUGGUGCGCACAGAGGGCUGCAAACCCGCGAGGGGGAGCUAAUCUCACAAAACGCAUCGUAGUCCGGAUCGGAGUCUGCAACUCGACUCCGUGAAGUCGGAAUCGCUAGUAAUCGUGGAUCAGAAUGCCACGGUGAAUACGUUCCC
rnacentral:rRNA from 1 species